rnacentral:hammerhead_ribozyme from 1 species
GCACUGCUGACGAGACCCAUACUAGGACGAAACGGCCGUCCAGUGU